GUGCCAGCAGCCGCGGUAAUACGUAGGUGGCAAGCGUUGUCCGGAUUUAUUGGGCGUAAAGCGAGCGCAGGCGGUUUCUUAAGUCUGAUGUGAAAGCCCCCGGCUCAACCAGGGAGGGUCAUUGGAAACUGGGAGACUUGAGUGCAGAAGAGGAGAGUGGAAUUCCAUGUGUAGCGGUGAAAUGCGUAGAUAUAUGGAGGAACACCAGUGGCGAAGGCGGCUCUCUGGUCUGUAACUGACGCUGAGGCUCGAAAGCGUGGGGAGCGAACAGGAUUAGAUACCCUGGUAGUCCACGCCGUAAACGAUGAGUGCUAAGUGUUGGAGGGUUUCCGCCCUUCAGUGCUGCAGCAAACGCAUUAAGCACUCCGCCUGGGGAGUACGACCGCAAGGUUGAAACUCAAAGGAAUUGACGGGGGCCCGCACAAGCGGUGGAGCAUGUGGUUUAAUUCGAAGCAACGCGAAGAACCUUACCAGGUCUUGACAUCCUUUGACCACUCUAGAGAUAGAGCUUCCCCUUCGGGGGCAAAGUGACAGGUGGUGCAUGGUUGUCGUCAGCUCGUGUCGUGAGAUGUUGGGUUAAGUCCCGCAACGAGCGCAACCCUUAUUGUUAGUUGCCAUCAUUUAGUUGGGCACUCUAGCGAGACUGCCGGUGACAAACCGGAGGAAGGUGGGGAUGACGUCAAAUCAUCAUGCCCCUUAUGACCUGGGC
rnacentral:rRNA from 1 species